rnacentral:tRNA from 1 species
UGGAGUAGAGCCCAUUGGUAGAGCACUUGCCUAGCAUGUGUGAGGCCCUGGGUUCGAUUCCCAAUACCACAA